ensembl:lncRNA
CCUCCUUGAUGUAUUUUGUUUUUAAGAGGUAUCACGUUACUACAAUGAUCGAAUGAAUCAACAAAUGGUGACUAUAGCAGCACCAUUAACCCCCACAGUUGAAAGUGCUUUAACUGUGCCAACACCGUUGAAUAAUACUGGAGGAUGAAGCUGUUCUACAGCCAUUUAUCAACCUCAAGGCCACAAACUCACCGUAUGGGGUGAGUAACAAAAUAUCUACCUCCUCGACUGCACCACCGGAUGGUGAUUUAUCGGCACUAUGGCGGACAACAACUGAAGAACUGCUUUAAUUGAGCCGGCAGUGAACGGUGUGUGAUUACAGAAGAGCUGAGCUUUAAUAAAUUUAAGUGAAUUAUAUCAAAUUUGUUCAAACAAAAUGCUUAGAAUUCCUAUAAGCACAAGAUAUAAAAUCUUUAAAAACUACGGCUGGUUACAUACGUUUGCGUCAGCGCUUAAACUGUACUUGUCCCUCUGCAUUCACACCCUAUGUCUACACGGAAGUGUGUGUGUGUGUGUGAGAAAUAAUGAGCAGAAGAUAAAAAAUAAUUGUACGCUGAAACCUCAGCACUUUAAUUUAUUCCUUCUAUAUAGCCAAGAGUUAGACACAGUGCAGAGAGAGAGGUCUUUGAUUAUGAAGCUGUUAAAAACUAGAUCAUAAUGUAAACAACAGCUUGAACGUUUUCUUUCAUCAAAAACCGAAAUUGAUCCGUGAUUUGCAUACAACAACAGUUUGCUACAAAAUGCUUGGAGUGUGUGUUAGAGGCGUUUCCUGUAGGACUGCAGAGCUCCGUUUUUCUCACAGCUCGGCGUUCCCAAAGUGUGAGGAUUGGUAAUGUCAGAAGAGCUGCGGAGUCGGAAGGAAGCUUGAAUGAAAUGCUUUAAAAUCCUGCGACGAAAGGACACAUCGCAUCUCUCAUAAACCUUCAAACCUCAAUCAUUCCCCACCUUCCCCAUUUCCCUUCAGAGAUUUUUAAAGGUAAUAAAGUUUUACCAGUAUCUUAUUUGGAAAUUAUAAAGCGCAGUGUGACACAUGGGGGGAGAUUAUAUGGGCCAGGACAAAGGUUGAAGUAAAGCGGUCGCACACUUUAAGCUAUGAUAUUUUUUUAAAGGGUGGACAAAACUUCCUCCAAAAAUAAUCAGAGUAUAAAGGCAACAAAUUAGCAUCCUGAGUGGUUUUGCCGUGUUGUUCUGCAGGAUGCUGAUUUUUCAGUGGCAAUUGUUUGUUGGUUGUUCCCUCACAGAGUUGUUGAGGUUCCAAAUGCAAUUUGGCAAAUGCUCAAAAAGUCUUAAACUUCGUGUAAAGGGUUCACGUUUAUACUCUAUGUGAUUAACUGUGUCUAUUUAUUCGUCACUAAAUAUAAUUAUGCUGCCCAAGCUCAAAUUUCCACAAUCUUAAUGGAACCUCAAAGGUUUAUCCAUAUAUGUUUUCAUCAUUACUUUCUAGCCAGAGUAGGACUUGUUUAUUAACCUGUUGCCACCAGAAGCAUUAUUUAUUCUCUUCAUAUAGAACCAUUGCAACCAUCUUUUUUUUAAUUAUGGAAGUGAACAACAGCCACUGGAGGACAGAUUUUAAAAACUU